AUGAACAAAGAUAAAAGUAAAGCAAAAUUCAAGUUCUCGCUUGGUGUCACAUGUGUCUUUGAGCAAAAGAAACCCUCAGGAAUAAGAUCAAAGAAAUGGCAAAUCCUCAAUACGAGACUAAUUAGUGGAGUUGUACAAUCUUAUGUGGAAUUGGGACUGAAAGAAGGUGAUGCACUUGCAAAGGGCCCUAUGUUAACAGUGUAUAAAGAAUCCUUUGAAUCUCAAUAUUUGGCUGACACAGAGAAAUUUUAUACCAGAGAAAGUACUGAAUUUUUGCAGCCAAACCCAGUUACUGAAUAUAUGAAAAAGCCUGAGGCUUGUUUGCUUGAGAAACAGUGGUGAGUGCAAUUUACCUCCAUGAGAACACACACAAGAUGAGUUAGCACAGAAAUGUGAGCUUUGAAAAACACUUGGAAAUCUUCCGCACAGAGUUCUAGAAUGUGUUGGAUGCUGCAAGAGUGAAGAUUUGGACCACAUUUACAAUCUUGUAUCUAGAAUUCAGGAUGGCCUAGGAGAAUUGGAAAAAACUACUAGAGACACACAUUCAUAAUCAGGGUCUUGCAGCAAUUGAGAAGUAUGGAGAAGCUGCUUUAAAUGACUCAAAGACAUAUGUGCAGACAGUCCUGGAUUACAAUGCCCUGGUGAUGUCAACAUUCAACAAUGACACUGGCUUCAUGGAUACACUUGGUAAGGCUUGCGGUCACUUCAUAAACAACAGCGCGGUUACCAAAUGGCCCAGUCAUCCAGUAAAUCUCCUGAGCUGCUAGUUCAGUACUGUGACUCCUUGUUGAAGAAAACUUCCAAGAACCCAGGAGAGGCAGAACUAGGAGACACCCUCAAUGAAGCGAUGGUGGUCUUUGAGUACAUCGAGAACAAAGAUAUGUUUCAGAAGUUCUCUGCAAAGAUGCUUGCCGAGAGACUAGUGCAUCAGAGCAGUGCUAGUGACGAUGCUCAAGCAAACAUGUUCUCCACAGUUUUUACCCGCUGGUCUCAGGCUACAGCCUGA